rnacentral:lncRNA from 1 species
CUGCAAGGGAGACUCAAGCUGUUGCUAAGAGACAGUUGGGUCUGGUUCUGGCUCCAUCUCUCUGGUUCACUUGGAGGGGACUGGCUGCCUUCCCUUGGUGGCUGUUUUCUAUCUGGUCUUCUCCAUCCUACCGGCUUCUCGGCUGGCUGGUUGAUAACUACAAAGUUUCCUGGUGUGAUCCUGAACUGUCUGGGCAUCUGCCUAAUUUGCCAGAGAUUGUAUUCCAUGAGAGUAUGUAUGAAAUCAUUGAGAACUCUCCAUAGUAAUGGAGCACCAGAGGAAGAUUUAUGGUUGUUUUUUGGAGAAUGCCAAUGGAAUAGAGGAUUUUUUCCUUUAAAGAACCUUGAGCCUGGGGGAAAGUAUCAAAAAGAGAAUACCUUAUGUCUACUCCCCAGUGAUAUGGACACAUUUGGAAGAUGAUUUCUUAGCGUCCAGCUUGAUAAAGCAAGCAUCUUAUUAUUGCUCUCAUUAUGUUUGAGUAUGCUGCUCUAAUCACUUCAUUCUUUUUUUCAAGGUUAAAGGGGUGCUUUUGACGAGUAUGUACUGUUCUCUGGUUGCUAUGGAAAAGAAUGCAUGCUGGUAACUUUCAUCAGCUUUCAUGGAAGUUUAUGUGCACUUAACUCAAUAUAAACAAAAUGCUUCAAUUUUGUGCUUUCUGCAGACCCUUUUUUAUCAUUAAUCACCUUGAUUUAACUGAUGCCAAAACUCACAUGCCUUAAUACUAUUUUUGUUGUUUCAUAAAUUUUUAUAUCUACCUUGUGAAAAAAAUGUUGGAAGAGAUAAAGUUUCAUUAGUCUAUCUUUUGUUUAGUGUGGUUAGCUAUAUGAGCAUUACUGAGGCAACUGUGAAAUUCUUUUCCAAUUAUUUUAAUGUAAUCUGAGUAAAAAGAAAAACCCAAGUGCAUUACAUUACAUUGACCAUAAGAUGUUGAUUGGACUAAAACAGGAUGAACCCGGACAAGUAUUCAAAGAUACAAAGUCUUUUAAAAGAUCUCCAAAACUCCUUCCACAGUAAUAUUAAAGUUCCCCAAAGAGCAUUUCACAGUUAGGCAGUGACUAGAAAAAUAGGGUUCACGGAGGGAGUUCCAAGUCCUUCCUUAGGGACUAGCUAAGAGUUUGUCCUGAAGCUCAAACUUUGUUUUUCAAAUUUCCUUUAUGUAAAAAUGAGACUGUUUGGGGGUAAUAAUGGAGGAGGGUGAAUUUGUAAAGUGUUUUUUCAUGUGUAAAAACACUACUCACAUUUUUAUAUAACAUUACUACCAAAGCAGCAUGGAAAGC